rnacentral:tRNA from 1 species
AGAGAGGACGGUACUGGUGUUCCACCCGGUCUUCAACACCGGUAGCAGACGGAUAAAACCGGCUGUGGCAGGUUCGAUUCCUGCCCUCUCUGCAA